GCCAGGUGUGGUGGCGCGCACCUGUAGUCCCAGCUACUCAGGAGGCUGAGGUAUGAGAAUUGCUUGAACCCAGGAGGUAGAGGUUGCAGUGGGCCACGCCACUGCACUCCAGCCUGGGCAACAGAGCGAGACCCUGUCUCAA
rnacentral:SRP_RNA from 1 species